ensembl:lncRNA
AGAAGCAGGAGCCGCUGGUCCAGGACGUUCCAACACGUUGGAAUUCGACGGUGGAUAUGGUCAAGCGUCUGAACCGCAAUCAAGCAGCAAUAAAAGCAACCCUGGACCAACAGCAGCACAAACUCAUUAUGCUGACACCACCAGAAUGGGACAAGGUGCAAAGACUUGAGACUCUUCUAGAGCCCUGUCGGUAUGUAACUGAGAUCCUGGGUGGGGAGGCCUAUGUAUCCUGCUCUGUUGUACUGCCUGCCCUCUGCCACUUGCGUCGUGUAAUGGAGGUCUCUGAUGAGGACCCUGCAUAUGUUCUCAAUAUAUGCUCAAGCUUGCAACGGCCCUGGAUCCACGCUUUAAAGACUUGAAGACCCUGCCCAAGAGUGAAAGAGAAGAGGUGUGGACCACACUGGGAGGCAUGCUGCAUGAACAAUCACAAAGAAGGUCUCCACAGACUUCUGAAGAUGGGCCACCCAAGAAGAAAAUGAGCCUGCUCCUACAAAUGUGCUCAGAUUCAGAUUCUGAUGAGGAGGUGCAGCCUGGCAGAGACAUACACAGGUACAGGGCAGAGCCCUGCAUUAGUAUGGAGGACUGUCCCUUGCAGUGGUGGUCUGCUCAUUCAGGAGCCCAUGACAAGCUGGCCCUGCUGGCUCGCAAAUAUCUAGCGACUCCUGCAUCCACAGUUCCAUGUGAAAGACUCUUCUCAGUGGCAGGCCACAUCGU